rnacentral:sRNA from 1 species
UCACAGUUGGUGUCCUGCUAUUUUCAAU